rnacentral:rRNA from 1 species
GACGAACGCUGGCGGCGUGCUUAACACAUGCAAGUCGAACGAAGUGGCGAACGGGUGAGUAACGAGUAAUCAACCUGCCCUUCAGAGGGGGACAACAGGUGGAAACGAGUGCUAAUACAGCAUACUGAAGGAGGGGCUUGAGUCUGAUUAGCUAGUUGGGGGGGUAACGGCCCACCAAGGCGAUGAUCAGUAGCCGGGCUGCGAGGAUGAACGGCCACAUUGGGACUGGGGCACGGCCCAGACUCCUACGGGAGGCAGCAGGUGGGAAUCUUCCGAAAUGGACGAAAGGCUGACGGAGCAACGCCGCGUGAGUGAUGCCGGCCUUCGGGUUGUAAAACUCUGUUAAUCGGGACGCGGUACCGGAAUAGAAAGCCACGGCUAACUACGUGCCAGCAGCCGCGGUAAUAC